UACGGAGGGGGCUAGCGUUGUUCGGAAUUACUGGGCGUAAAGCGCACGUAGGCGGACGAGUAAGUCAGAGGUGAAAUCCCGGGGCUCAACUCUGGAACUGCCUUUGAAACUCCUUGUCUUGAGGUCGAGAGAGGUGAGUGGAAUUCCGAGUGUAGAGGUGAAAUUCGUAGAGAUUCGGAGGAACACCAGUGGCGAAGGCGGCUCACUGGCUCGACACUGACGCUGAGGCGCGAAAGCGUGGGGAGCAAACAGG
rnacentral:rRNA from 1 species